GAUGAACGCUGGCGGCGUGCCUACUACAUGCAAGUCGAGCGAACAGACGAGGAGCUUGCUCCUCUGACGUUAGCGGCGUACGGGUGAGUAACACGUGGAUAACCUACCUAUAAGACUGGGAUAACUUCGGGAAACCGGAGCUAAUACCGGAUAAUCUAUUGAAACGCAUGGUUCAAUAGUGAAAGUCGGUUUUGUUGUCACUUACAGAUCGAUCCGCGCCGUUUUUGCUGGUGGGUAAGGUAACGGCUAACCAAGGCAACGAGGCGUAGCCGACCUGAGAGGGUGAUCGGCCACACUGGAACUGAGGCACGGUCCAGACUCCUACGGGAGGCAGCAGUAGGGAAUCUUCCGCAAUGGGCGAAAGCUUGACGGAGCAACGCCGCGUGAGUGAUGAAGGUCUUCGGAUCGUAAAACUCUGUUAUUAGGGAAGAACAAAUGUGUAAGUAACUAUGCACGUCUUGACGGUACCUAAUCAGAAAGCCACGGCUAACUACGUG
rnacentral:rRNA from 1 species